rnacentral:rRNA from 1 species
AUUGAACGCUGGCGGCAUGCCUAACACAUGCAAGUCGAACGAGUGGCGGACGGGUGAGUAAUGCCUGGGAAACUGCCUGAUGGAGGGGGAUACCUACUGGAAACGGUAGCUAAUACCGCAUACCAUCCGAUUUGCCUAGAUGGGAGUAGCUUGUGGGUGGGGUAACGGCUCACCAAGGCGACGAUCCCUAGCUGGUCUGAGAGGAUGACCAGCAACAGUGGAACUGGGAAACGGUCCAGACCCCUACGGGUGGAGCAAGUGGGGAAUAUUGCAAAAUGGGCGAAAGCCGGAUGCAGCCAUGCCGCGUGUAUGAAGAAGGCCUUCGGGUUGUAAAGUACUUUCAGCGGGGAGGCGUUACCCGAAGAAGAAGCACCGGCUAACUCCGUGCCAGCCGCCGCGGUAAUUC